CAACAACACUGUUCCCACUAAAAGUGAAUCAGCACGAGGGAAGCCAUGUUGCAGAGUUAACAAAUGGUUUGGGUGUCAGCUGUAAGAAAAACUAUUUCCUUCAACAACAUCUUGACAUCGAUGAGAGUGGGCUUCUUACAUUUUCAUUCUGGUAAACAAGCAUAUGAAACGAACGAAUCACAGACUGGGCACCAUCUCUACACUCGGGUCACAGUGAGAUCAAGCCUUCAGAGUCAGAACGGUUUGCCAGAUGGGCAAAUAGAAAACUGUGAAGGACAGAGAGUACGCCGGCAAUGGAUAAUACUGCAGUGGAUGCCACCACACCAAGAGAAGCAGCACCAGCACCACUGCAAGAGGAUGGAGGUGGAGCUGAGGCUUGCAAGCCUUCUGAGAAGAGGCCGAUGAUGUCACUAUGCCUCAUCAGUUUGUGGAAACAUGUUGUAAAGUCAUGAAGUACCUUAUUGGCGUUACACCAUAGGGCUCUAUAUCAUUCAUUUCUAAGGGAGAGGGAGGUUGUGUCAGUAAUAAGCAUAUAACUGAAAACUGGGAUUCUGGAUAAGCUGUUGCCUGGUGAUUUGGUACUGGCUGAUCCUGACUUUGACAUCAGUGACAGUGUUGGACUUGUACAGAGGUAAAGAUCCCUGCACAUUGUAAAUGCUGCAGUAGGUCCUUUUGAUUGUUUGCUAAAUUGAAUGUGUUGUUUGUGAGUAUUAUACUGGAAAAAACUGAGGAAAUACCUUAUUUUAUGAUAUAUGGGUGUCAUAUAAUUCCAGGUAGGAUGGGCCAAUUAGC